rnacentral:lncRNA from 1 species
CUUGCUGCGUGAGAGUAACUGCUAGAUCCUUGGAGAUGAUAACCUUCACCCCAAUGCAGUUUGAGAACACUUCCUAAAGGUUACAAUGAGACCACUGGGGGAAUAGAUCCCCAGCCUGACUCCCCGCGGGACUUCCAAGGCAGCAUAACUUCGGGUCCAGACUGGGCUGUCAGGCGUUUCCAGGAAGGAUCCAGGAACCCCUUAACUAAUCCAGGCAGUGACCUGGGAGAACUCGGGAGAACCCGUGGCAGCCCUCAGCAUCCAGACUUUGGGGACAGUGUCCAGUGCCUAUUCCCGAGGUUGGACCUUGCAAGUGUCCACGGUGGGCGGUGCCGCUAUCAUCUUCCAACACUUGCCUAAUUAUGGAGCUAUUGGGAAAGAGAAACUGGUGAACCUGAUUCCUGAUUUCCGGGUAGGCCUUCAGAUGUGUUUUGCUGAAUAUCACUUUCAGAAGAUCCCGGCUAAACUUCUUCUGUACAUUGCUGAGGAUGUCGUACACGACUCUCUCCAGUGGGACCAGGGCUUCAGAGUUGCCUGAAGUUCCAGGACCAACUUGAAGAUAGAGAAGCAAACAGGAUUCCCCGAGUUCUGUCCUCACAUGACCCAACUGCCUCUGGCUCUGGGAUUUGGAGUAAGUAGGCUUUGGAAGGCAGCCCAGCUUAGGUGUGUCUACUUGCAUCCUAGUAUCUGUUGUUACAUUACACAAGUGACCCUGGGAUGCUCUGCACUUCGGAGCAUUCCUGCUUGCUAUUCGUCGCUGUCACCAUGUGCCUCAGCCUCAGUUACUGCAGAGGUGAAUGUAAAUGGUUCCUGUGAUGUCUAUCCCUCCAGUUAUCUUCUGACUUACAAAGGUGAUGUCCCUUCAUCCCUGGAGGUGCUUCAGCCUGUUGGCUGCACCCAGAAGUACAGCAUGAUACAGCACAGGGCAGGCUUGCUGUCAGGACUGAGUUCAUUCUCCACACUCACCUGAAACUUCUGCUCCGAGAUGAAGUCUCGGUCUCGAAGGCUCAUGAGGAAAGGAAACGGCUUGGUGAUGGCACUUGCGAUCUCCACCUUGUUUUCUUUGAAGUGCUUGAACAUGAGCUGAUAGUCAUCUGACUCCUCUUCAUUCUGGUCCUCUGGGAUUGUCCUAGGGGACAGAUUUCCAUGCAGAAGUAGAUACUGGUUUACAAGAUGCUACCAAUGGCUGGAUAAUUACUGACAUGAAGACUGGUCUGCUAAUAUAAAAUUAAAAUUUUAAACAUCUCA